rnacentral:rRNA from 1 species
GACGAACGCUGGCGGCGUGCUUAACACAUGCAAGUCGAACGGUAAGGCCCUUCGGGGUACACGAGUGGCGAACGGGUGAGUAACACGUGGGUGAUCUGCCCUGCACUUCGGGAUAAGCCUGGGAAACUGGGUCUAAUGCCGGAUAGGACCACUGCCUGCAUGGGUGGUGGUGGAAAGCUUUUGCGGCGUGGGAUGGGCCCGCGGCCUAUCAGCUUGUUGGUUGGGUGAUGGCAUACCAAGGCGACGACGGGUAGCCGGCCUGAGAGGGUGACCGGACACAAUGGGGCUGAGAUACGGCCGAGACGCCUAAGGGAGGCAGGAGUGGGGAAUGUUGGACGAUGGGCGCAAGCGUGAUGGAGCGACGCCGCGUGAGGGAUGAGGGCCUUGGGGUUGUAAACCUCUUGCAGCACCGACGAAGCGCAAGUGACGGUAGGUGCAGAAGAAGGACCGGCCAACUACGUGCCAGCCGCCGCCGUAA